CGGGGCGUAGCUCAGAUGGCUAGAGCACUCGGUUAGGGACCGAGGGACCGUCGGUUCAAAUCCGACCGCCCCGA
rnacentral:tRNA from 2 species